rnacentral:misc_RNA from 1 species
GGCACUCCGAUCCUGGAUCCUAGCUGGGCAUUGAUACACACCGCGGCGAUAUUUCCUUUCGGCGAAACCGUUAUUCCCGAGGCCAUGGUCAAACACAUCUUGAAUGAAGCAGACAUCGUAGGGAUCAGCACGGCCAACAGCACGGACGAGCCCAACUUGCUGAUGAACAGGGUGCAUAACACCGCUCCCUUCCGGUUUGCGUCGCCGCCCAACCCGAUCAUGCCACCCGGCCCGCAUACACGAGGCAUGCUGGACACCCUGGGCGAAUUCCCGCACUGGAAGAACGUGCUCAACAGGUCGAGGCUCUGCUUCUCGGUCACCACCUCGAUCAACUACGCGUACACCAGCGUCGACGGCAUCGACUUCAUUCACGAAGUCCGCUCCGACGAAGACGUGCAACGCUACAGCCGGAGGCGGUUCGUCGCCCCCGUCGGCAACAAGUUGCCGGUGGAGAAGAAGAACAUGGUCUACCACUACGACAACGUCACGCAUACGCAUUACUGGCGCCACCCGCCACCCGGCCAGAAGCUUCUCAGCUUCUUCGCGUACGACAUGGCCGAGACACUCAAAUACAAGGUCGAGCAGAUGCUGAAGGCGUACCCCGACGACCGCUGCGUCGUCUUCGACGACUUGGGCGAAGACGGCCUGGGUGCCAACUUCACUGUGAGGGGGGAAACGUACCAGUGGAAGCCGUACGCCAUGUUCCAGGCCGUCGUGGAUGUCCUGAAUAGCACCACCAUAUAGGACCCCGCUCCGGCAAAAUAUAAAGGGGGGGGGGGGGAGGGCAGCCGAGAUCCGCUCUACUCCACUUUGUUGCUUCGCCAUCGACGUUAAGGACGCAUAAACGGCUGACGAUAGGUAAACGUCGUUAUUGAUAUGCGGCAAGCUCUUAUUGACAUAACCUCGCCACGACGCAUCCUCAAGAACGCCACGCGACCAUGUCGUCAUGGGGCGUUAGUAUAGUCGUUCGGCACAAACGACUUAUGCCUAAACAGCGACGAGGUGCUGUAUGCCACCCUAUAGACAGUGACGAGGCGCUUUUCCUAAUCCACUGUUGCUCAGCGCGACACAUUCGUGAAUGGUCGUUUAGUUCGCUCGUCCCCAAUGUUCGCUUAGUCGUGCGACUCUGCUUUCAAGUGCGCUGCCCACGCGUUAACGUGUUAACGGAUAGCUUGCUCAGCGUUUGCCUUUUGAGGGCGUCGAUGUACACCCUGCUGUGGUUCUUUCUAUACUUUGCGAUUGUUGGGCGCUAUAUCUGUUUGUCGCGAAGCGAAUCCCGCGGUGCUUGGGGACGAGCAUUCUCGGCUGCGGUGCCGAAAACUGUACAGCGCUUGCUAAGUGCACGGAGUGCCGUAAGCCUGUAAACGCGACAAUCCUUCAGGAGGUCGAGAAGGCUAGUAUACAUCUUCUCAUCAUCUCUGCGCAGGACAGGUUCCCUCACCGUGGGAUCUCCAAUCUAUCGUUGUCCUGCGGCAGCUGAACCAAACGUAUACUCUUAAUACCCGUCCAAUUUUCAAGUGGCAUUGGUACAUCUAACCCUCAUGCUGUGAACUCAUGCUGUGUUCUCUUGCCUAUUGUUUGUCUACAAUUCACAUAAACCCUUACAUACUAGACGAUCGGACGCAUAUGUCGGGUUAACCGCCCUGACAUGCUACCUUCAUUCCCUUUGCUUCUCUCUCUCGUUCCCUCUGCCACCCUUGGCUGCAAUGUCCGGUGUACUGUGUGUUAUAUUCCAGGCAAACG